UUCUGCAAACCAAACAAGUCCAAAGGGGUGUCUGUUAUCUAUAGAAACAACAGGAGCAAUGAGAACCUAAGUUGCAAAAAGCAAAGGACCAUCCCAUUGAUAUCUCUAUUGUCUCUGCUUUUCUUAAACUAAACUUUUUCAUCCACCUUGUGAAUGAUCCACAUGGUAACUAUGACUAUAAAUCAUGUCUUCAUAUAUUCAAAUAAGUAUUCUAAAAUUGUAAUGCAGAUUUUGUACAAAACUGGAAAAUUCUCACAAUACAGAAAACUGAAAUUAAUUGCGAAAAAGUGCUUGGGCAAAUCCUCUGGAAACUCUGAUCCUUAGACUGCCGGUCAUCCAUCUUGGUAGUAAUAGAAGUAACUACCUAGGAUAGAUAAUUUAUUACAAAAUUCCCCAAUGAGCAAUAUCAUGCGAUCUACAAACCCAGUAUGAACAUGUGAAAGAUAAAUUUUAUAAGUUCAAAAGGGAAAACUUAAACAAAAUCUUUAUAGUGGAAUUACCCAGCCCAAUAACUUGGAAAGACACCUCCCAAGUUUUAACUUGGAACUUCCUCCAAAUGCAAGUGUGCAACCAAUAAGUUAUUGCUCAAUUCACCUCUUUUUUUGAAAGAUGUAAACCAGAAAUUUCCAAUUUGCAAUACAUCAACAAGCAAUGCACUUCUAUGAUUUGCCAAUCAAAAUAGAAUAUAUAGAUGUUCCACUUGCAUUAUCAACAUAUUUACAAACAUAUAAUUUUUUGGCAUAGCAAUAUAACAGAUGUGUUGGCUUCAAUCUGAAUAUACAAAGCAAAAUAUCAUAUAUACUAUAAUCGGAACCAACUAACCACUCCUAUCAAACUAAAGCAUACAUUGAGAUUACAAAAGAAAAUGAAUGGUACCUAUCAGAUAAGCAUGAUAGUUGGAAGAUAAACACUCCAUACUUGUUAGUAUAGCCGCACCUUCCAACUCUGUCUUGCAACAUGAGGUUCUAAUAUUGUAGAGCCAUAGUUUCGAAGCUUUUUCAUAAGUCUGUUUACCGCUUGAACAUCCAUGUGAAGAUUGAGCAUUGAGCAGCCUUAUUUUAUUUCCCAACUUGAAGGUCAGCUUAUUGACAAGAGAAUCCUCAACUACAUCCACUUUAGCAUUGGGCAGCCUUAUUUUAAUUCUCAACUUCAAGGUCGGCUUAUUGACAAGAGAAUUCUCAACUACAAACACCUUGAAGAGCAAUACUUCUAUUCCUAUUGUCUUCAGGGGUCUCUAGAACUUAAAAUAAGAGGCACCCUAAUAGUAUAGGCAUUCUACAAUAUGAGUGUUCACCUUACUUUGUCCAAAUUUCAUCUGUUUGCGUCUCAAGCAAGAGGAAAUCAUUCGUUUGAGCACAUAGUAUCCUAUUUAGCAUCAAGUAUCAAUGGAGUAACUAGAACACAUGCAUACAUGUCAUUAAACAAAUUAUCCUCAACGAAAAUUAAUCAAACUCAAAAAAUUGGUUUACAUAAUGGAAGAUGCAGUGAGUUUAACAUCUAGUUCGCCAUUACAACACACUGACUGACUUCUUAACUUAAAGCCUCAUUGUCACUGGAACCAUAAUGGAAAUACAAACUUUCGAACCCAUCCUAUGUAUAACCAAAGAACCUAUAUUUACUUCACUUGCUUGACUGCAUAUUUCAUUGAACCCAAAAUAUCAUACACUUACCAGUUUACAGAUGCAAUUAGUAAUUAAUAAAAAAAACCUUAUAAACCGAGAAGCAACAGUGCACAUUUAUGACAAUUUUUGAUUGAUUGAUUCAAGAAAAGUAUGUGUUCACAUCCUUACAGGAUUACAAUUUCGUCAAAUACCUCAACAUUUUGUUACUUGCAUGGUGAUAACACAAAAAGAAUGCGGUCAGAUAAACCAGAUGAUCCCAAGAGCUAAAACCCUGGACAUUUCAAAAACCUCAAAUAGACAUCACAGUUCAAAAUACGGAGAGGAUUCGGUGGGGACCUGAAUUUCUCCAUCGGGAAGUAUUGUUCAUCAUCGGUGGCCACUCGGCGGCUUCGGCGGCGGCCGCGGCGGCGUUGGAGUGGAUGAGGAAGCGCCGCCGCUCGGUCCGGCGGGUCCGGCGGCGGAGUCCUCGGCGUCUACGAGCUUGCGAAGGCGCUCCUGCAGGGCGCGAACCCGGUCCUCCGUCCGCCGGAGCUUCCGCCACCGCCAGGUGAGGUACGCUCCGAUGCCGCCGUACACCAAGAUGUACGACGCCCACACGUACGGGUACGUUUCCGCGUGCUCCUUGAUCCUCAACCAUUGAUCCUCCAAUCUCCCCCUCCAUCCGACCGUCGGUUCUCUCGGCUUCCCUUCCUCUUCCUCGCCCGCCAUCGGCCCUGCUUUUUUUCGUCGACGGGUCGAGGGGGAGUGGUUUUAGGGCAGCGAGGAAAUCAGAAUUCCAGUUCUACUCUUAGGAUUUAUCUUAAAUACUCGUAUGCCCCCCGAUCUUGAUGGUAAUUACAGGGAAAAGACAAGGGUAGGAAAAGACAAGGGUACUUCAGUAAAAUAGACGGGGAAGCGGGAAGGCUUCGAGACCGCAAGAUCAGAGCCCUUCUUUCGGUACAGUAGGUGGGGUUUUUGUUAGGGGAGAGAGAGAGAGAGGGAGAGAGCGAGAGAUGGCGAAGAAGGGAGGAGGAGGGAGUGAGGGAGAGGUGGCGCCGGCGCCGGCGCUGGCGGAGGCGGUGGAGGAGCUUCCGAGGGCUAUCGUGCGGAGGGUGGUGAGGGACAAGCUGGCCGAGUUGUCCUCCGGAGGCGGAGGACGAGGAGGGGAAGAGGAGGUUAACGUGCACAAAGACGCGCUCCUGGCUUUUGCGGGCAAAUGACAUUUGUAAGGAAUCAAAGAGGCAAACAAUCAAUAUAGAGGAUGUGCUCAAGGCACUGGAAGAAAUUGAAUUCCCUGAGUUUAUUGAGCCUCUUAGAAUUUAUUUAGACGGUCAGUAUGCUUUGCUUGCUCUUUUCUUUACAUUGAAAGUGAAGAAUAUAAGAUUCAAGCAUCUUUAUUAUCGGCAUUGUGACUCAACUUUUUCCAUGGAACGAAAUGGUUAGCAAACACUUGUCUUCAGACUAUAUGGCCUAUCGAUGGGGCACCUGUUUUCAUUAAGGGCCCAUUCUUUGGUGGAUAAAUAUCAUGAGAAUGUUGGUCAAAUGUCCCAUUGAUCAACUUAGCAUAUUCUUGUGCUUCUCUACAUUACUAAGUUAUUUACCCAUGAGUAUCAUUUUCCCAUGAAAUGGGUGGAAAGACUUACCCACCUGUGAGGUGGGUAAUUAUUUUCCCAUCAGCUGAAAAAAUAACCAUUUUAUUUUGUUCCCAAAAUACCCCUAACUCUAAUCCUCUCAUUUCCACCACCUCAUUGCCCAAUUCAUCCUAUUCUCAAGCCAUCCCCUCCAUGGUAUGCCAUACCGACUUGAACCUGACGGUACGGGGCACACCGUAUCGCUCGAUUUGGCAUCGAUACCCGGUAUGAGUAGCAUAUCGAGUGUCGGUAUGCCAAAAAAAAAUUUCGUAUCGUACCGUACCGAUACUGUGCUAGUGUGGCAUCGGUCCGAGGUCCGGUAUCGAGACGGCGAACCUUGAUCCCCACCCUAAUCCCCUCUCACUUUACUCUGUUCGUCCAGCAGGAGGUUCUAGGACAGCUAGGAUGUCUCCCGGAGCUCCUCCUUUGGAUCCUCCUAUGGCAGCAAGUCAUCGUCAUCAUCAGCGGCGACGUCCAGCCAGAACCCGAUCAAGAUUGCUGCUCGGGUUAUUGGUCGUGCUUCGGCUCGCCAGCUAUGUGGUCAAAGAAGGGGGACUCCUUGGAGGCCUUUACGCCUUCUUCUUGUUUUUGAGGCUUAUACCUGCACUGAAAGCCAUCUCAAACAUGCAAUCGAAGCUUCAGGAUGACAAUGCGCAGUGUGAUCGAAGUGCUGCCAUUUCAGGAUGACAGUGCAAUUGAAGCCACUUGAAACACUCAUACGGAGAAGUGCUGCCAGAGAGAUUCUUGAGAAAAGAUGAGAAUAGAAAUGGCCACAGGCCUUCAAACCCCCUUCCCCUUCCCUUAUGAUCCUCCUCUGCACAUUCCUCUCUCUCACCCUGUUUUCCAUACUGCCAGCACAAACUACCACCCUGCUGUACUCUAAUCCAGCAGAUUUACUGUUGUUGUCAGACCUGAAAUUUAGAUCUGAAACAAUUUUUACGUCUGUCAACCUCCAAGCAACAGAUCAGCAAUUAGCUUUGAAGCUGAUUUGCAGGAAACGAUGUUGUAAAUUCAUGCAGCCUUUAAAUCUGAAAAGGAAAAUGUUUGACUACCAAAGGCAUCAUAGUCAGAGUAGCUUAGAACAAAAUUUAACUCAAUAAA